GUGCAUUUGGUGUAAUGGUAUCAUAAUAACCUCCCACGGUAUUGACUAGGGUUCCAUUCCCCGGAUGCACA
rfam:Picea glauca, whole genome shotgun sequence.